GUGAGGGGGCUGGGGCUCGACACACUGGACCGUAAGGUGCCUGAAGACAGGAGGCCUGCCUCUAACCGUCGCUCGAUUCUGAACCCUCAUGGUGUCUCCUUGGGGUGGGGCGGGGUGGUGACACAGCACCCAAGAAGGGGAACAUAACGCCCGAGAAGGUCAAGCCCUCAUUAUACACACUGGGAGCCCGAGGCUCCGAGAGGGGAGACGACUCACCCAAGGCCACGCAGGGGAGCCACCAGAACUCACGUCUCCCGCUUCCAGCUCAGGGGUCCGGCAGACCGUUCAGGAGCUCCGACUCAGGCUCACGGGGGCCACAGGACACCCCCAGAGGACACAGCACAGCGACAGAAGCCCACUCGUUACCCUGUCAAAUAGAUGAGCCAAAGGUGGCCCAGAGACCUUCACUGACACACAGCUGUCGUCCCCACCCCCUGCCCCCCGCAUGAUGACCACAGGACGGCACUCACAGCUGUGUUCACGGCUCUCAAGUCUCCAGGUUUCAUUCGCGGAGCCAUCAGACCGGGGCAGGACAAGCAUGAUAUAAAUAACAAAUCCCACCCCCUCCCCCCCAGUAAUAAUAAUGCAAUCAACUCCUUUAACCGCCUUAGAGUCAGCAAAGUCUUUUCCCAGACAAAGGUUUGCUUCUCACGAACCCUGUCCCGGAGGGCAGGAGGUCACAGGUGAGAGGCCGGGCCUGCUCAGAUGACCUAGCAGGUCAGGGCCAGAGCUGGGGCUAACCCUGGUCUUCCGAUGCCCGGACAGCCGCUGUGUAUACAGCAGGGCCUGCCGGGUACGGCUUUUGCAACCUGGGAAUCUGCAUAUCAGUAAGCUCUGGGGAAUUCUGGCCACAGGCAGCCUGAGAAACAUCCCUCCCCAGCAUCUGCACGGAAGGAGGUGAGUUUUGCUCACCUCUCCCCCGAAACGGCUGCGGGGGAAGGGGGGCUUGGUUCAUGGUCACUCCCCGUGCCCCUCACUCGGGGCAAUUUAGGGGCGAGGGUUUUUCUCGCAAAGCUGGAGGGAGACAGCUAGGCCUGGAAAUGUGGGUGCUGUAUCUAAUCCUGGGGUGCCCCCCCGAAAUUCACUCUGUUGGGGUUCCUCCCUGGGUGAGGAAAUGAAUUGAGGGUCACGGGUUCUCAACCCUGGAUGCACCUUGGAGUCACCUGGGAGGCUCUAGAAA
rnacentral:lncRNA from 1 species